CCCCAUUAUGCUGGCCCGUGAUUGGUUUGAGUCUGGGCAUGGGACUCAGUGUGGUCAGUGGGUCUGAAGGGAAGUCUCAGAAGGAAGAUUUGGAAAAGGAUUUCCUCAUCAGUGGAAUUUCCUCUUUCUGCCAAACUGCCCAUGAUUGCCUGAAAAUAUAUGUGAAUAGAGUUGAAAACUCCUUUGCUCCAAGGAUCAAGAAAAGCCUUCAGAAAACCGGCUAUGUCAUUUCCUUUAUAGAAGCCCAGGAUUGUCA
rnacentral:lncRNA from 12 species